GAUAUUUAUCUGGUUUCAUCUAGUUCGUUAAUAUUAUGUAAUCAAUUAACUAGUGAAGUAUUUUCUACUUAGGUGAGAAUUCCUUUAUUCGAGGUUAUAAUGGCAUAUUUGUGGUACACCACUACACAUCAGACCAUGUCAAGUUGACCCAUCUCUGUUGAGUAUAUUAUUCGAGAAACGAUGAUAAACCGAGUUACAAUUUACAAAAAGUAACGAUUCACACUUAACCCUGCACAAUGCCGAUAUUUACUAUGUAGAGUGCGGACGAUAAUAAUAAAGCUAACAUCUUUAUCCGUUAAAAAAGCCAUGAAUGCCCGGCAGCGGACGGGGAUGCUUGCUGCCAGAGCUAGCAGGAAAGAGCAGCGGCCCUGACAGACGAAAGAGCAUACACACAUGCAGGGAGCGUAAUUCGAUAAUCGGCGUGCUCUUGAACGCGCCCGCGCCGGCAGACCAUCUGUCAUGUUGACUGACUUUGUCAAUGAAGAGUGUAAUAGCUGUUUAUGAGGAUACUCGGUGCCGCAUUGCGAUGUAUUGCGUCGUUUGUGCAGGUGCGAGUAUGAUUGCGGAGAUUUAUCGUGAUGUCCAUGUUUGUUGCAUGGUUGCAUAGUGUGGGUUUUGGCAAGUAAUUGAGGAAGAUGUUAUAAUUUUAUUAAUUUCCAGAACUAAUAGCUUUGGUCUGCUAUCCCUGACGACUAAACUCGACACUUAACUUGUUUGUGUCAAAUAAGUAAGGUUAUGCAUGACAUACACUUGAAAAUCUCUUGUCGUUUUUUUUGUUCAUGGACAGUGGCGAAAGAAGAUGGCUUACUAUCAAAUAAUCUGUUUAGCAGCUACAAUCACACGUUGGUGCGACAAUUUUCCAUCAAGUAGCAGGAUGUCAUGCUUCCCACGUUCCUAGUUCCUCCAGGAAGUUGUUUCUUGACGUACAACGUCUCAAGCUCAGGAAUCUUGAAAAACACUGAAUUAUUUAGCUGACAUUAGACAUGAGCACAUUGGUUAAAAGGAUACUGAAAUCAUUUGAACUUGUAUUUAUUUAUAUCGGCGUUACAUAAAUAUAUUAUAAUUA